AACGAACGCUGGCGGCAGGCCUAACACAUGCAAGUCGAGCGAAGCCUUCGGGCUUAGCGGCGGACGGGUGAGUAACGCGUGGGAACGUGCCCUUUGGUACGGAAUAGCCCCGGGAAACUGGGAGUAAUACCGUAUGUGGUCGAGAGACGAAAGAUUUAUCGCCAAAGGAUCGGCCCGCGUUGGAUUAGGUAGGUGGUGGGGUUAUGGCCUACCCAGCCGACGAUGCAUAGCUGGUUUGAGAGGAUGAUCAGCCACACUGGGACUGAGACACGGCCCAGACUCCUACGGGAGGCAGCAGUGGGGAAUCUUAGACAAUGGGGGAAACCCUGAUCUAGCCAUGCCGCGUGAUCGAUGAAGGCCUUAGGGUUGUAAAGAUCUUUCAAUGGGGAAGAUAAUGACUGUACCCACAGAAGAAGCCCCGGCUAACUCCGUGCCAGCAGCCGCCGCCGUAA
rnacentral:rRNA from 1 species